rnacentral:misc_RNA from 1 species
UCUCCGUUGGUGAACCAGCGGAGGGAUCAUUACCGAGUUUACAACUCCCAAACCCAAUGUGAACGUUACCAACCUGUUGCCUCGGCGGGAUCUCUGCCCCGGGUGCGUCCCAGCCCCGGACCAAGGCGCCCGCCGGAGGACCAACCAAAACUCUUAUUGUAUACCCCCUCGCGGGUUUUUUUAUAAUCUGUGCCUUCUCGGCGCCUCUCGUAGGCGCUUCGAAAAUGAAUCAAAACUCUCAACAACGGAUCUCUUGGUUCUG